CAACCCUCAAGCCCCCCUGGGGCUUGGUGUUGGGGACCGGCCCCGCCCUGCUGCAGGAUGCCGACCCCGAAAUACAGUGGCAGUCUCGCUGCGGCCUCCUAUGCGUAGUACCUGAAACGUCGCACUGGAGCCCGGCGCGGCUACGCCGUUAAACCCCCGACUUUGCAAAA
rnacentral:misc_RNA from 1 species